AGAGCCCUGUCCACAGCAAACUAAAAUGAUGGCUAUGUGGACAUGAGCAGCUUCAACACCUUUAAGAACAAUCAGCAGAGCACAGACCAGGACGCAGAAAGAAUUUUGUAGCUGGAGGAAACUUCAGACACAAGUCCUGUUACAGAAGAGGAAACUGGCACAGAGAGGAAAUGGUGCUUGCAUAAGGUCUCUGGACAGAGUCUUGCCCUGUUGCCCAGGCUGGAGUAUAGUAGUGCAGUGGUGUGAUCAUAGCUCACUGUAACUUCGACCACCUGGGCUCAAACAAUCCUUCUUCCUCUGCCUCCCAAGUAGCUGGGACUACAGCUAUAGAAAGAACUCAACAAAGAAAUCUUGAAGAAUGACUUUUAGCAGCAACAAUAGAAGACAAAACAACAGAACUCACAGCUCUGACAAAGUCUCUCUCUGCUACCUAGGCUGGAAUGCAGUGGUGUGAUCUCUGCCACUGCAACAUUCGCCU
rnacentral:lncRNA from 1 species